ACCUGACUGGCUUAGUCAGUAGAGCAUGAGACUCUUGAUCUCAGGGUCAUGAGUUCAAGCCCCAUGCUGGGCA
rnacentral:tRNA from 1 species